rnacentral:lncRNA from 1 species
GAAAUGAUCGCUUAACCAGCAGAGGUUGCAGAAAGGACGGAUUUUGAAAACUGUAAUAAACGAAACGUAAUUACGAUGUAUUGUGAUUAGAUGCAGUUUCUCCUGAGAAGCUAGCUGUGUGUGUACUUCAUUACCCCAAAAACAUAGCUGUGUUUGAAGAAAUUUUUUAAUCCGUUGUAUGCUGAGGAAGCAAUGUUCACACUCAAGCGUCCAACCCUCUGUAAGGAGAGAGAAAAGCACACGAAGAAAAAGACCAAGUUGCCCUUAAAAAGUACUGAGGACCCGGGAGACUUCAAAGAUGCAUACAUGACCUAGAGGACUGCAAACGCGGGAAAAAACGAAGGACUAAACCCCUGGGGCUGGUGACAAAGAAUGCAUCCCGCAGAGCCAUUGUGAAGAUCCACCAUUUAUGAAUGUAAAGUAUGAAAUCUCCCUGCCUGGGGGAAUGGAUGCUGCCUAUUCAUAAUUUCGACUUCCCUUCACAUGUCUGUUAAAAAAAAAAAAAAAAAAAAAACCUCUGUACUAGACUCUAACUUUGUUAGCUAGAAUUUAAACAAUGGACAUGUAGGCCACGUAAUAUGUGCUCUCUAAAAUGUGACCUGUAGUGGCUUAGAAAUAAAUUUCCUGACUGAUUAUAAAUUCUUA